UACGGAGGGUGCAAGCGUUGUCCGGAUUUAUUGGGUUUAAAGGGUGCGUAGGCGGUUCUUUAAGUCCGGGGUGAAAGCCCACUGCUCAACAGUGGAACUGCCCUGGAAACUGGAGAACUUGAGUACAGACGAGGGCGGCGGAAUGGAUGGUGUAGCGGUGAAAUGCAUAGAUAGCUUCCAGAACCCCGAGUGCGAAGGCAGCUGCCUAGACUGUAACUGACGCUGAGGCACGAAAGCGUGGGGAGCGAACAGG
rnacentral:rRNA from 1 species